rnacentral:rRNA from 1 species
UUUAGUUCGUACGUGACCUGGCGGAAGGUCAUUACUGAGUGAGGGCCCUCGGGUCAACCUCCACCCGUGUUUAUUUACCUUGUUGCUUCGGCGGGCCCGCCUUAACUGGCCGCCGGGGGGCUUACGCCCCCGGGCCCGCGCCCGCCGAAGACACCCUCGAACUCUGUCUGAAGAUUGUAGUCUGAGUGAAAAUAUAAAUUAUUUAAAACUUUCAACAACGGAUCUCUUGGUUCCGGCAUCGAUGAAGAACGCAGCGAAAUGCGAUACGUAAUGUGAAUUGCAAAUUCAGUGAAUCAUCGAGUCUUUGAACGCACAUUGCGCCCCCUGGUAUUCCGGGGGGCAUGCCUGUCCGAGCGUCAUUGCUGCCCUCAAGCACGGCUUGUGUGUUGGGCCCCGUCCUCCGAUUCCGGGGGACGGGCCCGAAAGGCAGCGGCGGCACCGCGUCCGGUCCUCGAGCGUAUGGGGCUUUGUCACCCGCUCUGUAGGCCCGGCCGGCGCUUGCCGAUCAACCCAAAUUUUUAUCCAGGUUGACCUCGGAUCAGGUAGGGAUACCCGCUGAACUUAAGCAUACAAA